AGGCAUCAUCAUUAAAGAAGAACGACCAGACUACACUGACUUCCUUUACCAAGACUCCCAAGACUCAUAGGAAGAAUUCCUUCCCCUCAGCCAACAUCUCUAACAAUUUCCACAGCCAACCAUGUAUGAACCCGGAUCAUCAUCUCAACCCUCCAAAGUUGACAAGUCCACUCAAAUGCCAAGUCCCAAGUCCCAGUCAUCACCCUCCAAACCAGGAUACCGAAGAGAUUGCCCUUAUCCACCUUGCCGUGGUCCCCACUAUAAGCAUCCAAAGCUCUCCAAAACCUUUUUCCCACCAACCUCUCAUGACACUGACCCCGAUGAAACCGAUAGCUCAUCUGAAGAUGACUACAUGAAUCUCAG
rnacentral:lncRNA from 1 species